GUAAUAGCUCACUGGUCGAGUCGGCCUGCGCGGAAGAUGUAACGGGGCUAAACCAUGCACCGAAGCUGCGGCAGCGACGCUGAUGCGUUGUUGGGUAGGGGAGCGUUCUGUAAGCCUGCGAAGGUGUGCUGUGAGGCAUGCUGGAGGUAUCAGAAGUGCGAAUGCUGACAUAAGUAACGAUAAAGCGGGUGAAAAGCCCGCUCGCCGGAAGACCAAGGGUUCCUGUCCAACGUUAAUCGGGGCAGGGUGAGUCGACCCCUAAGGCGAGGCCGAAAGGCGUAGUCGAUGGGAAACAGGUUAAUAUUCCUGUACUUGGUGUUACUGCGAAGGGGGGACGGAGAAGGCUAUGUUGGCCGGGCGACGGUUGUCCCGGUUUAAGCGUGUAGGCUGGUUUUCCAGGCAAAUCCGGAAAAUCAAGGCUGAGGCGUGAUGACGAGGCACUACGGUGCUGAAGCAACAAAUGCCCUGCUUCCAGGAAAAGCCUCUAAGCAUCAGGUAACAUCAAAUCGUACCCCAAACCGACACAGGUGGUCAGGUAGAGAAUACCAAGGCGCUUGAGAGAACUCGGGUGAAGGAACUAGGCAAAAUGGUGCCGUAACUUCGGGAGAAGG
rnacentral:rRNA from 1 species